AGGACGAACGCUGGCGGCGUGCUUAACACAUGCAAGUCGAGCGGUAAGGCCUUUCGGGGUACACGAGCGGCGAACGGGUGAGUAACACGUGGGUGAUCUGCCCUGCACUUCGGGAUAAGCCUGGGAAACUGGGUCUAAUACCGGAUAUGACCUCCUAUCGCAUGGUGGGUGGUGGAAAGAUUUAUCGGUGCAGGAUGGGCCCGCGGCCUAUCAGCUUGUUGGUGGGUAAUGGCCUACCAAGGCGACGACGGGUAGCCG
rnacentral:rRNA from 1 species